GCCUCUGCCUGUGAGCACGUGACCGUGCGCAUGCGGGGCGCGGCUGCGUGAGGGGACGCGGCGCGCGCGGUUGCCGGGUGUGAGGAGAUGCGUGUGUCCGUGUGUCCGUCCCGCCUUUGCGACCCGCCGCCCCCCCGCCCCGGUCAGUUGUGAGGGGACGGCGACACCGAGCGGCAGCGGUCGUGGCCGUGUGCAUGCCCACGUGGUGCCUUUCAACACCGGCUGUGCAGAGCCCGUGGGGGGAGAGGCUGAGGGAAUGGCUGGGAAGGGAACCAGAUCCCAAGCUUCUCUUUGUGCUGAGGCAUUCAGGCUGCUGUUUCUUCAGAGCCUGUGAUGAAGAAGGGACCAGGAUUCACUGAAAGGGGGAGGAAUCGGUUCACAAAGCCACGCCAAGUGCUCAGCUGAGGAAGGCGGGCCCCAAGGAUGGAGGCAAAGCACGAGGGAAAGCUGGCGGAUGCACCUUGUGCAGAAGUACCACAGCUGGGAGAGGAGACUUCAGAAGACGGGAGAGUGACAGAAGUACACUCGAUUGCAUGGAUAUUGCCAUUGGGGUUUUACCUCCUCUCCUCUCUCAUUGCGUGAUGUGAAACAUUGAUACCAGCUCCCAAGUAUGCUCCGAGCUGCUCCUGCCUUCAAAUCCAUUCAAAAGUUUCUACUUUUCAGUCUGGUCAGGCCCUUUGGUCUCCUCACUUUGAGGUCAUGAAGCUGCUUGUGAUGCUACAAACCAGGGGCAGCUGAGAUCCUGAGACUUAAGUUUCUCCAGGUGCAUCUUACAGUGGCUCAGGGCAGUGCUGAUGUGAAGCCACGUUGAUCAAUAAACAGCUCUUGACAGGACCGGAAGGGUGCGAUAUGAACUACUAGAUACAUACAAGAUACAGACAUUGGAAAAACAAAGAACAGGUUUCUGCUGCCUUUGGAUGUGGAGAUACAGGAUGCUGACAGCUGGGAGGAAAAAUGAAAUUCAGAGCCAGAUGUGAUAGUGAGCUCCUUCGCACCUUCUCUGCUCUGCCAGUUGCAGUGUCACACUGGGCCAGGAUGAAGAACUUCCACUACUUCAGGUAACUGCAACCGUUGCGCCGCUAUCCCCGCUUGAUCACGUGCAACAGCAUCACUAAUAACAGACACAGUUACUUGGGUAUCUCUGGUUGGAGGUGCUUGUUUGUAUGUGAAUGCUGAUGUGUGGGUGAGAGAUCCUCAGCCUCAUGUGAAAAAACUCAACGUCUCAGCCCCACAGCCUGUCUGCGAGCUUCCCACUGUCUCUCAUAGAAGUUCGUUCCUCGCCUUCCUCCCUUAUUUUCAACUUUCAUACUCGUGCAGCUGGAUGCUUAUUUAUAUUCAUUUACCCCUCACCUUCUCUGAAUGUCCCUGGGGGAAUCUGAAGAGUCUAAUAGUGCAGUUAGUGCCGUUCAUAGUCAGGAGCAGGGGACACCAAGGCUGGGUUUGAGGAGUAAGCGGGGAGGCUCGGCUGAAUGCUUCUGGCUAUGUUCUGUUUUCUGGGUGUCCCAUGGCUUUCGCUAUGACCAGUCCCAGACUGCAGGAAGAGCUUUGGUGAGCAUCUGGUGUAGCUGUCUCUCCCUUCAAGCUUUUGCAUAUUACACACAGGAAAUACACCAAAAGCCCAAACUGCUUAAACCUGCUGGGUGAAUUUAAGCAAGUCUAGCCUGUAAUUGCCCUCUGCCUGGGACACAGGCAUGAGGUCCCUGACCUCUGUGAAAACCCAGCCAGUGGUGUCUUUUCUCUUCCACCUUCGCGAUAGCCUGACUUCCUAGGAACUCCUGGAGUUGGUGCUUUUGUCUGCCUGUGCCUGUUGGUGGGUAACAAUUACCUCUCCUGACCCUCUCAGACAUGUUGGGCAAGGGGCUGAUGCCCCAAAGACAAUUAAUUCCUAGAAUCUCUAUAAAGAGGAGGAGGAGGAGAAGAGUCGCUCUCAGUCCACAGAGGGAAGGCACCAACCUAAAGCCGGUUCCAUCAGCGCCUUGCUCUCGGCAUCACUUGUUGGCAGUUUCAGCGUCAUGCAAAGGACGUGGUGCCGCCUGGUGCCAGGCUGCUGCACCGGCACCGCCAGCCCCGCCGCGGUACCAUCGCCCCUUCAGAGCCCAGGACCAGCCCAGCCCCUCUUUAACCUGAGUGUCACGAGUGCACAGCCCUGCUUACGCAUUUGCAAAGGCAGAAGCAGAGCCGCAGCGUGUCCUCCCGCACCAGUUUGAGCGAGUCUUCAAACCGCACUGGUUUGGGGCAGAGUGGAUGAAACUCGCUUCUCCCUGCAGUGCUCGUAGGGGUCCCAUGGAGCACAAGAAAUGAGUUGCAGAGAGGAAAUGAGACACGCUCUGGAGUUUAAUGGCCAGUUUUAGGGCAUGACUUUGGGCAUUAUUAUAAAGCUGAAGACAAAGACCGAGGCUGCAGAACGGGUACUCACCACCAUCCAUGGUCGUGUUUCAAACCGAGAUGAAGUCCAAGGUGAACAGGAGCAUCGUACGUUCCCGCGCAGCCUCAGCACGCCGGGGACCCUCUUGGGGACGCUGUCUUUUAUACUUCCUGCACCUCUGCAAGAAGCUCAUGACACAGCCUGAUGUCACUGACACUUCGCAGACCCUCCUCCUCCUCCCGGCAGCGCAGGAGAGUCGCCGUGCGCCACGCUGCUCUCGGCACUCGGCGUUCGGGCGCUUCCUCGGCGCACGCGGCUGAGGGCUGCACACAUUUUUUAGUGAUACUCGGUAGAAUGAAGCGCGUUCUGCUUUUGCACCGACACACGAGAAGUUGUGGUGAAGGAACGGGAGGAAAGUCUCCUUUAGUGUUCUCUCUCCUCUCCACAGCAGAUCUGCUUCAUCUGCUAGAGCAUCCAGCAGAGCGCAGUGCGGCGGGGAUGGGGGAUCCCUGUCCCCUGUCCCUGUCACCUCCACCAGACCCUCUUGGAAAAAGCGUUCAACCACCACAUGAAAAACCCCAGUGCGCAGGACUCCCAGCGUGGCUUUGCCCGUCUCCCACUUGCUCACAGCAUCCUCUCUGAAUUAUCAGCAGCUCAGGCGAGUAGGGGACUCCCCCCGCUUUCUGUUUUUGACUGUUUGUGUGUUACCGGGUAUCAGCAUCCACCAUCUCCCCCAAAACAUGCAGGAUCUGGAUCCACCAUCCUUACCCAAAGUCGGGGGCUUGGAGACAUUGGGGCAUUUUCACCAUUCACACAAGGUGACCUGCACUUUCCAUAGCACCCUCUAACUACACACCCCUGGCUUUCCAGCACGCUCGGUUUGGCUUAUCUCGGUAAGCGGGUCCGGCUCACAUCUCUGUGACACUGUUUAUUGCUCUGUUCUCCUUUGGUUCAUCGAUGAUCCGAGCAGGUACGCUGCCUCUGAGCUUUAUCUUUUCACCACUUCCGCCAAGAAGCACUAGAGAUGAAAGGCUUCUCUCAGGUACAGGCAGAAUACACAGAAAUGGUGGGUGUGAAGCCUUCGAACAGUCGCGGUGCUGCCUGUGGCGUGGUGGGUGCGCAGAGAUCCGCACCAUCACCCGAUUUCCUCGGUGCUCGCGCUGUGCCCGGAGCGGAGGAUCCAUCCCGGCUCCGUGGUGGCUGAAGCCAAAGACAACAAGCGAAAGGCAGGUGGUUUGCAGUUUGUUUUCUGCACGUACUCCCAAGCUUUAACUUCAGAUUUUUGGCCUGUGCUGAGUUGCGUGUUUUCAGAGCCAAUUCAAGCAAAUUGUUUCCCUUAAAAAAAAGAAUGGGAAUAUUAUAAAAUAAGCACCUUGCUCUGUCUUUAUGACACUCCGUCUUCUUGUACAGUCAUGUUUCGUACCUGGGGAGUUCUCAAAACAUUUAUUAAAGCUUUGCUUAAUUUGAUUGUGUAUAUUUGCAGUCUGUUUCAUGCCUUAGUGAUUCUGUCUCUGACAGAUUCCCUUUAACACUUGUGCCGUCAUUGAGAGAAAUCUGAUCCUGCACGAGCAAACAUCACAUUUCUCACCAGUGCCAGGCCGGAGCUGUGCCCGAGAGAGCCGAGUGGGCUGUUUGCUCUCUAGAACACGUUUGUUACCCUAAAGAUAAAUUAACUAUUAAAAAAUCAAGUUACCUGGUGUUUUCAGUCUUAUGUGAGAACCUCUGCUCACCUUCACUGCCGGAAGAGUGGAAAUCAGCGAUUCCAAUCCAUGGCUUGGGCUGCAGUGCUGGAGCGGGAUGGCGGUUGUUCAUCAAUAUAACUUGUCAAAAGAAAGUUCCGUUCCUAAUAAAUUCCACAGGAAACGAGCUCAGAAAGAAAGAUUUCAGUUCUUGAACUGAAACGUUGUGUUUGCUCAACUGAGUUGAAACAUGUAAUCGUUAAUUGAGCUGACAGUGAAUUGCAACUCGUUCAGCAGUGAAACAUCUCAUGGGAGUUUAGUUCCUGUAUCUCACAUUCGUGUCCUGUGUGUGAAAUUGGGCUUUUUGCAGUCUGUCCUUCCGCCGGGACACACAGACAUGCCAAGGUGAAGGACCCGCUGUCUCCCAGGAGGUGCUGACCGGCCAGCACGUGUGAUCUGAGAAAGCAGAACUCGUGAGCACUUUAGCAAGGUGUAAUUCAUUCUGAGAACAGCAAAACGCAAGGUGUUUUUACAUCCUGAAUUCAAAGCCUCCCUGUGUUUUCCACUGAUUUUGCUUUAAGUGAAUUGAGAUGAAAACAGACUCUGAAACAUCGGUUUCCCAGCGGGUGGAGGGUCCGUGCGGCUGCGGGCGGCUCUGCCCACGGUGCACAAGACCCCCGGCACCGCUUCAGGGAUCCGCUCACACGGCACAAGUGGUUUCAGGUAGGAAAACCGAGGUCCUGCAGCCCAGCUUCAGGCUGAGCACCGAAGGGGGUUUUGCAGACCAGUAAAAGCACCACAGUUCACAUCGAGCUAUCGUAGGUCCCUGGCAAACCGCUGACCUGUCCUCUUCCCUGCGCCCUGCCACAGGACACGGAUGGAAACCCCAGCUACCUCUCCUGCUCUCAGCUCUGCUGUUCUGCUCUUUCGCUGAUCCAAAGCACCAGGAAGGCUUUCUCCCCUUGGCUGCAGGAAGCCAGUUGCCCACACAGAAGCACUGAGGAAGCAAUCAGAGCAGCAGGCAGGCGCUGUCAGGGUCGCGCAUUUGCCCACGUUGCCUGUUGGUCAGCCGCAGGAGGGAAGGACGCGCUGCUGGUAUCGCUGGGAAUGCACCCGCUCCAUCCCUGCGUCACGUCUCGGGUGAUGGCCUUUCGCUCCGGUUCUUUUUUGAGGGGGGAAAAACAAAAGGCACUUGUAGCAGGUUGGCAUUUGCUCUGCGCUAAAGCAGCUUCCUCAACCCGCAGUCCAGGAAUCGAGCUGUGACGAAGGAAACACACCCAGAGACCCGAGUGGGGACAGGUCAGGCUGGCAGAAGCGCAGAUGCUCCGGUGUCACCGCUGCGGUGCAGGGGACAAGCUGGGUCAUCAGCUGCUGACUGCAUGUGCUGCUGUUCCUCUGUCCCCUCCGGCCACAGGUGAGAUUUGCUCCACUUUGUCCACACCACCAGCUCCUUUUUAAACAGAAUCACAGAAUGGACUGGGUUGGAAAAGCCCUCAGAGAUCAUCCAGUCCAACCCUUGGUCCAACUCCAGCCCAUUCACUAGAUCAUGGCACUAAGUGCCAUGUCCAAUCUCAGCUUAAAAACCCCCAGGGCCGGUGAGUCCAGCACCUCCCUGGGCAGCCAUUCCAAUGCCUGACCACUCUCUCUGCAAAGAAUUGAUUCCUAAUAUCCAGCCUCAAUUUCCCCUGGCAGAGUUGAAGCCCAUGGCCCCUUGUCCUAUUGCUGAUGCCUGGGAGAAGAGCCCAAUCCCCACCUGGCUAGAACUGUCCUUCAGGUAGUUCUAGAGAGUGCUGAGCUCACCUCUAAGCCUCCUCUUCUCCAGACUGAACAAGCCCAGCUCCCUCAGCCUCUCCCCAUAGGGCUUGUGUUCAAGUCCCUUUCCCGGUCUUGUUGCUCUUGUAUAUAGAGGGGCCUGCAAUGAACAAACUAACCCCUCCUGCCCUGAACUAACAUGGAAGAGCCAGUGGUCACCCCAGAAGAGCAGGGGGGGAAAGGACAGGAGAUAAAAAAUACAAAGAGAAGCUCCUGACACAUUAUAGGAACCACAGAUCGUAUCUAGAGGGGGUUUUGAAACCUCCUGGCGCUUUGUUCCCACACAGGUGGGCAGACGGCUGGGAAGUUCCCACAGGACACCACACAUUAGGGAGAAAUGAAUUGUUCAGGGACAUAAAGAAACAGCUUUUUGGCUUCUGAAAGAAUUGAGGGUUCCGGCGUCUGCCGACCGCACCGCAAACGUCCUCCUGUGAGCCCUCCUUGUCGUACUCAGAACGUGCAAGAUGCGACACCCCAGCCUUGUUUCAAAGACCACAAGGGAUGGUAUAGAAGUGGAAUAAUCCCAUCAGUGGUUUCCCCAGGAGCUCCUCCAGUCCUGUCUAUGACAGAUCUGUUGUUCUUCGACCCUGGGCUUAAGAAAUGAUAUAUAGUGAUUUUUCACUUGUUUGCCGUUGUUACCGUCACUCUUGCUGGUUUGGCUUCUCCCCCACCCCCCCUAGAAUGGGCGCCAGGAUUGAAAGGGCUUUUUCUUGCCUUUUUAAUAGAAUUGAGUGAAAAAGCUAAAUUGAAACUACCUGUUUACAGAAACUAUAGACUUCUGUAAGUCACCAGUGAAGCCAUACGUGAUAACUUACAACAAAAUAAGACACCAACCCAAUAACUGCAAAACCACUUCAAAAAAACCCCUUGAAGACCAGGGCGGGGGGAAAAAAAGCAACAAAGUGAAAGAAGGGAACUGAGAACAAAAACAGUGAGACACAGACCCGACCAGAGCGGAUCCCUGCUCAAAGGGCUCUCGAUCUCCACCUCGUUAUCACCAAAAUCGCACUGGGGAGAGAUUUGCAAGAAUCACCAUCAAUAAUACCCUGUGUACACAGGGGAGGCUUCGGAUCCAGGAGUCAAAGCACUCGAUUAAGCGCUGAAAACCUCCAGCAAGUGUCGCAGGUUCCUUAGGGCACAAAGUCACGGCUGCGAUGGGUCUGGGGUGGAACUGGGGCUCGCGGGGGGAAUGGGAGGGAAUUACGGCUCCGUGUGUCUGAUGUGAUUAAACACAGCGCAAUUAAACACUCCGCAAUCCUGCAGUUGAUAUCCGGGAGAGCUUAAAGCUGGAGUCACAGCACCCACAGCUGCGUUCCUGUCUGGGUUGGAGUCAGCGAGGACGGACAGACAGCACAGCAAGGGGCCAAUCCAGAGCCAGCGCGGUUCCUGGCAGCCGCGGGUUGUUGAAUGACGGUCUCUCCAAUCUCUCAACAGGGUUUGAGGGACUCCUGGUGGCAGCGCCGGCUCCAGCUCACGCGCCUCCGCGAGCGCAGACCCGCACCCCUUCUCAUCCCGAACCCGCCGCGAGGAGGGUUUUGCUCAAUAUUCCAGAAAUCAGGAGUGCUGGGAACGCUUGUGGGAGGAUGGAAGGAGAGGGAGCAAAGACAGUUUUAACGGCGCUGCGUCAGCACAAGGGAAAAACAAACCAAAGAAAACAACUCCCUUACCGCAAUACGAUGAUUUGGAUUUGCCUCUUCGUUUCCUCGUUGAUCCUUUGUGUGUGUGAAGGACCCGCUGGCUCUGACACCCCAGUGUCCCCACACCCCGGGACAGCCAGGGGAAG